rnacentral:misc_RNA from 1 species
GUAGGUGAACCUGCGGAAGGAUCAUUAACAAAUAUUCAACACUGACGUCCCAUCUUUAGUUAUUGUACUACUUUUGUGAAGGCAACUUUUCAAAAGUGUGUAUAUACUCUAAAGAUGGUGUCUAACACACACACUUUGAUUGACAACACCUAGUGAUACUCUAGUUAACCGUAAACAACUUUUAACAAUGGAUCUCUUGGCUCUU